UACGAAUGGGGCAAGCGUUGUUCGGAGUCACUGGGCUUAGAGCGUACGCAGGCGGACAUGAAAGUCAGAAGUGAAAUCCCCGGGCUCAACCUGGGAAUUGCUUUUGAAACUCCAUGUCUCGAAUCCGGUAGAGGUUGGGAGAAUUCCUAGUGUAGAGGUGAAAUUCGCAGAUAUUAGGAGGAAUACCAGUGGCGUAGGCGCCCAACUGGACCGGUAUUGACGCUCAGGUACGAAAGCGUGGGGAGCAAACAGG
rnacentral:rRNA from 1 species